UACGAAGGGGGGCUAGCGUUGCUCGGAAUCACUGGGCGUAAAGCGCACGUAGGCGGAUUGCUAAGUCAGGGGUGAAAUCCUGGAGCUCAACUCCAGAACUGCCUUUGAUACUGGCGAUCUUGAGACCGGAAGAGGUAAGUGGAACUGCGAGUGUAGAGGUGAAAUUCGUAGAUAUUUCGCAAAGAACACCCAGUGGCGGAAGGCGGCUUACUGGUCCGGUUCUGGACGCUGAGGCGCGAAAAGCGUGGGGGAGCAAACAGG
rnacentral:rRNA from 1 species